AGAGUUUGAUCAUGGCUCAGGAUGAACGCUGGCGGCGUGCCUAAUACAUGCAAGUCGAACGAAGUCUUCGGACUUAGUGGCGAACGGGUGAGUAACACGUUGGUACCUACCCCUAAGUGGGGAAUAACUGCCCGAAAGGGUGGCUAAUACCGCAUAAUCCCGCAAGGGUAAAGCAGUAAUGCGCUUAGGGAGGGGCCUGCGUCUGAUUAGCUAGUUGGUAGUGUAAUGGACUACCAAGGCGACGAUCAGUAGCUGGAUCGAGAGGUUGACCAGCCACACUGGGACUGAGAUACGGCCCAGACUCCUACGGGAGGCAGCAGUAAGGAAUCUUCCACAAUGGACGAAAGUCUGAUGGAGCAACGCCGCGUGCAGGAUGACGGCCUUCGGGUUGUAAACUGCUUUUAUAUGGGAAGAUUAUGACGGUACCAUAUGAAUAAGGACCGGCUAACUACGUGCCAGCAGCCGCGGUAAUACGUAGGGUCCAAGCGUUAUCCGGAAUCACUGGGCGUAAAGCGUGCGUAGGUGGCGUGUUAAGUGUGGUGUUAAAUCGUGGGGCUCAACCCUGUCGAUGCAUCGCAUACUGGCAUGCUAGAGGGAAGCAGAGGCAAGUGGAAUUUGUAGUGUAGCAGUGAAAUGCGUAGAUAUUACAAGGAACACCAAUGGCGAAGGCGCUUGCUGGGCUUCUUCUGACACUGAGGUACGAAAGCGUGGGGAGCGAACAGGAUUAGAUACCCUAGUAGUCC
rnacentral:rRNA from 1 species